GGAUGAACGCUGGCGGCGUGCUUAACACAUGCAAGUCGAACGGACUAGAUGAAACUUAGUGAAUCUAGUUAGUGGCGGACGGGUGAGUAACGCGUGGGCAACCUGCCACAUACUGGGGGAUAACACUUAGAAAUAGGUGCUAAUACCGCAUAAGCGCACGGUACCGCAUGGUAGUGUGUGAAAAACUCCGGUGGUAUAUGAUGGACCCGCGUCUGAUUAGCUAGUUGGUGAGGUAACGGCCCACCAAGGCGACGAUCAGUAGCCGGCCUGAGAGGGUGAACGGCCACAUUGGGACUGAGACACGGCCCAAACUCCUACGGGAGGCAGCAGUGGGGAAUAUUGCACAAUGGGGGAAACCCUGAUGCAGCGACGCCGCGUGAGUGAAGAAGUAUUUCGGUAUGUAAAGCUCUAUCAGCAAGGAAGAAAAUGACGGUACUUGACUAAGAAGCCCCGGCUAACUACGUG
rnacentral:rRNA from 1 species